rnacentral:rRNA from 1 species
GACGAACGCUGGCGGCGUGCCUAAUACAUGCAAGUAGAACGCUGAAGAGAGGAGCUUGCUCUUCUUGGAUGAGUUGCGAACGGGUGAGUAACGCGUAGGUAACCUGCCUUGUAGCGGGGGAUAACUAUUGGAAACGAUAGCUAAUACCGCAUAACAAUGGAUGACACAUGUCAUUUAUUUGAAAGGGGCAAUUGCUCCACUACAAGAUGGACCUGCGUUGUAUUAGCUAGUAGGUGAGGUAACGGCUCACCUAGGCGACGAUACAUAGCCGACCUGAGAGGGUGAUCGGCCACACUGGGACUGAGACACGGCCCAGACUCCUACGGGAGGCAGCAGUAGGGAAUCUUCGGCAAUGGGGGCAACCCUGACCGAGCAACGCCGCGUGAGUGAAGAAGGUUUUCGGAUCGUAAAGCUCUGUUGUAAGUCAAGAACGAGUGUGAGAGUGGAAAGUUCACACUGUGACGGUAGCUUACCAGAAAGGGACGGCUAACUACGUGCCAGCAGCCGCGGUAAUACGUAGGUCCCGAGCGUUGUCCGGAUUUAUUGGGCGUAAAGCGAGCGCAGGCGGUUUGAUAAGUCUGAAGUUAAAGGCUGUGGCUUAACCAUAGUUCGCUUUGGAAACUGUCAAACUUGAGUGCAGAAGGGGAGAGUGGAAUUCCAUGUGUAGCGGUGAAAUGCGUAGAUAUAUGGAGGAACACCGGUGGCGAAAGCGGCUCUCUGGUCUGUAACUGACGCUGAGGCUCGAAAGCGUGGGGAGCGAACAGG